rnacentral:rRNA from 1 species
CCUACGGGAGGCUGCAGUGAGGAAUAUUGGUCAAUGGACGAGAGUCUGAACCAGCCAAGUAGCGUGAAGGAUGACUGCCCUAUGGGUUGUAAACUUCUUUUAUAUGGGAAUAAAAUGUUCCACGUGUGGGAUUUUGUAUGUACCAUAUGAAUAAGGAUCGGCUAACUCCGUGCCAGGAGCCGCGGUAAUACGGAGGAUCCGAGCGUUAUCCGGAUUUAUUGGGGUUAAAGGGAGCGUAGGUGGAUUGUUAAGUCAGUUGUGAAAGUUUGCGGCUCAACCGUAAAAUUGCAGUUGAAACUGGCAGUCUUGAGUACAGUAGAGGUGGGCGGAAUUCGUGGUGUAGCGGGGAAAUGCUUAGAUAUCACGAAGAACUCCGAUUGCGAAGGCAGCUCACUGGACUGCAACUGACACUGAGGCUCGAAAGUGUGGGUAUCAAACAGGAUUAGAUACCCGUGUAGUC